UGUUUUCAAAUACAAUCUAGGCCUCUGUAAUUUCAUUUAGCUUAGGCAUAAACAUUUGAAUUGGGCCCAAUAAAUAACAAAACAUGGCCGUCUACGAAGACCAGGGCCGGACGGUCAUGGCUAGAAAGGAUCCAGCUUUGGUCAAAUUAACGUCAGAUUUGACUUUUCCUAGCAGGUUAGAACUUACACAGCAGGUUAUGGUAAUUAACAUAGCAGGUUAGAACUUACACAGCAGGUUAUGGUAAUUAACAUAGCAGGUUAGAACUUACACAGCAGGUUAUGGUAAUUAACAUAGCAGGUUAGAACUUACACAGCAGGUUAUGGUAAUUAACAUAGCAGGUUAGAACUUACACAGCAGGUUAUGGUAAUUAACAUAGCAGGUUAGAACUUACACAGCAGGUUAUGGUAAUUAACAUAGCAGGUUAGAACUUACACAGCAGGUUAUGGUAAUUAACAUAGCAGGUUAGAACUUACACAGCAGGUUAUGGUAAUUAACAUAGCAGGUUAGAACUUACACAGCAGGUUAUGGUAAUUAACAUAGCAGGUUAGAACUUACACAGCAGGUUAUGGUAAUUAACAUAGCAGGUUAGAACUUACACAGCAGGUUAUGGUAAUUAACAUAGCAGGUUAGAACUUACACAGCAGGUUAUGGUAAUUAACAUAGCAGGUUAGAACUUACACAGCAGGUUAUGGUAAUUAACAUAGCAGGUUAGAACUUACACAGCAGGUUAUGGUAAUUAACAUAGCAGGUUAGAACUUACACAGCAGGUUAUGGUAAUUAACAUAGCAGGUUAGAACUUACACAGCAGGUUAUGGUAAUUAACAUAGCAGGUUAGAACUUACACAGCAGGUUAUGGUAAUUAACAUAGCAGGUUAGAACUUACACAGCAGGUUAUGGUAAUUAACAUAGCAGGUUAGUAGAAUUAGGUUAAGGUUAGGCAAAGGGUUACAGUUAGCUAAAAUGCAAAAAAUAUAUUUAGUUAAUUUGACAAAAGCUGGAACC